AUGGUGAAACGAGUCGAAAUGAGCGAAACAAAUGGUUGCUAAUUUAUGCUUAUUCCUGUGAAUUCAAAUACCAAAUUGAACUUCGUAUCUUAUAUGCAUACUGUCAGUCAUUCCAACAAGUUGACUUCAGCGAUCAGUCAAUAUCCAUCCAUUAGAUCCUCAUGCUGUCAAAAGCCUAAAACUCAUGUUUGAAGAGCACAUAUAGUGGAAUAUAAAUGUGCCAAGAUAAGGAUCUUUUCCAAAUCUUGCAAUUUUGGUGGUGUACCCUGCAACAGCACGUUUGUUGUGAUGGCUGUUUUUACUUUGGUUUAGAAGGCAACCCAGCUAAGAGAUAGAGUUUCAGUGACAUGAAGAGUGUGAAGUGAACCACCUAUCACCACGCUAAGUACUGCAAUACUUCAUGACACUUUCUUUAGCAUCAGGAAGUUUGUCUCAACAUGUGGAGUAAUGCUGUUGGUUGCUGUGAAUUCCAUUUCUACGGUUAUGUCAUCAUGAACUUUUCAGUGUGCUUCUUAGAAAAGAGCUCACAGUUUCUUUGUGGAAUCGUGUGGUCCUGGCACGGAUAUUCUUGAGCCAACGCUGGCUUUUGUUCAUGACCAACGUUCUGCUCCAUCCUUAUCUUCCCGGCGUAAACUUUUCCAGCUUCUGCUUCAUCGCUUCGUACACAAAAAUACAACUUGUCUUGCUUCACUGACGAGUUGGAACACUUCAGUGGUCGCUUGCGUCCCGCUGUUACACACCUGCAAUCACUCA
rnacentral:lncRNA from 1 species